GUGCCAGCAGCCGCGGUAAGACGAACUGUGCAAACGUUAUUCGGAAUCACUGGGCUUGAAGAGUGCGUAGGCGGUUUCGUAAGUAGGGUGUGAAAGCCCCCAGCUCAACUGGGGAACUGCGUCCUAAACUGCGAGGCUGGAGUGAGGUAGGGGUGUGCGGAACUUCCGGUGGAGCGGUGAAAUGUGUUGAUAUCGGAAGGAACGCCGGUGGCGAAAGCGGCACACUGGACCUUGUCUGACGCUGAGGCACGAAAGCCAGGGGAGCAAACGGGAUUAGAUACCCCGGUAGUCC
rnacentral:rRNA from 1 species